rnacentral:rRNA from 1 species
GUGGGGAAUAUUGGACAAUGGGGGGAACCCUGAUCCAGCCAUGCCGCGUGUGUGAAGAAGGCCUUUUGGUUGUAAAGCACUUUAAGCGAGGAGGAGGCUACCGAGAUUAAUACUCUUGGAUAGUGGACGUUACUCGCAGAAUAAGCACCGGCUAAUUCUGUGCCAGCAGCCGCGGUAAUACAGAGGGUGCAAGCGUUAAUCGGAUUUACUGGGCGUAAAGCGCGCGUAGGUGGCCAAUUAAGUCAAAUGUGAAAUCCCCGAGCUUAACUUGGGAAUUGCAUUCGAUACUGGUUGGCUAGAGUAUGGGAGAGGAUGGUAGAAUUCCAGGUGUAGCGGUGAAAUGCGUAGAGAUCUGGAGGAAUACCGAUGGCGAAGGCAGCCAUCUGGCCUAAUACUGACACUGAGGUGCGAAAGCAUGGGGAGCAAACAGGAUUAGAAACCCCGGUAGUCC